rnacentral:lncRNA from 1 species
GCAAAAUGCUACAAGGCAGGGGGUCGUCGCUUGCCAUGGUGUUGUGAGGGCUCUCUUGGUUGCAAUGUGGGGGAGGACGUUGUGUCUAUAAAGUAGAGGUGUUGUGAUGGUUGGAACCUUGGCUAUGAUAGGGGCGUGGGAGAUGUUGCGACUACCGAAUAUGGGAUAUUGCAAUGGAUGGAACCUUGGCAAACCAGCUUGCAAUAUGGUUCAUCUUACAAGCUCUCGAGCACAACAAGGCUCAUGUUGCACAACACUCGAGAGAAAUACUAGGUGGGGUAUUACGGUGUCGUUGGAAUCCAAGGACCAAUGAUGCUUUGACAAAUGAUCCACGAGGCGACAAAACUUUUCUUGUUUUUAGUCGUCUGACGCCCAGUGUGGUCCCCUUUUUUUGAGGAACGGUUAGUCAUUGACAUGUUUCUAUGCAAUGUUUUAAGGAAAAGUAUUCAAUUCCAC